UACGUAGGGGGCAAGCGUUGUCCGGAAUUAUUGGGCGUAAAGAGCGCGUAGGCGGUCCGGUAAGUCGGUUGUGAAAGUCGGGGGCUCAACCCUCGGAUGCCGAUCGAUACUGUCGGGCUAGAGUCCGGAAGAGGCGAGUGGAAUUCCUGGUGUAGCGGUGAAAUGCGCAGAUAUCAGGAGGAACACCAAUGGCGAAGGCAGCUCGCUGGGACGGUACUGACGCUGAGGCGCGAAAGCGCGGGGAUCAAACAGG
rnacentral:rRNA from 1 species